rnacentral:rRNA from 1 species
UCGGAGAGUUUGAUCCUGGCUCAGGACGAACGCUGGCGGCGUGCCUAAUACAUGCAAGUCGAGCGGACAGAAGGGAGCUUGCUCCCGGAUGUUAGCGGCGGACGGGUGAGUAA